rnacentral:lncRNA from 10 species
CCAAAUUAUUCGAUGGGAGCUUCCUGGAUGUUUUUGAGAUUUUUAUAGACUCCUGUGAAAGCCCCUGAGAAUAAACUAAAAUUUCUUUUUAUUUGGUUUUUUAAAAUUGUCUUUUGGUACAUUUGCUUAACUAAUUCUUAAGCCACACUUAACCAGUUCUUUGGGGUCACCUCAUGUUUCCCACUGAAGUUUAAUUACAGUAAGAUAAACUGAUUGACAUAUGUUUUGCUUUUUCUUUGUUAGAUGACUCAAAACUGAGGCUAAUUAUCAGAAUAACCACAGGAGAUUUUAAAUACACAGAUGUCUGAGCCUCAUUCCUGAAGCUGGGUUCAGUAAACAAGACUGAAGCCCAUUUGAAGCCAUGAAUAAAAAACAGAAUCAGUUGCUAAACCCUGCAGCCUUGAACCUGUACCCAUUAUGGGACCUGAAUUCCUAUAUGGACACAAAGAGUAUGAAAAUUCCAAGCCCAGAACUUGAGCAAACACUGAAAUGAGGCUCUUGCCUUUCCCAGGGCUCCACAGAGAGAUGUAAAUCUGCACACUCAGUGUGAUGGGAAGCAGCUGAACUCUAAGAUGCCAUUUGUCAUUGACAUGGGAAAUAAUGUUUUCCAUUCUCAUUAUGGACCCAGGAGCAGGAAAGAAGCUGAAUGUGGGGAUGGAAAAUGUAAGUGCUCAAACCCACCACUUCUCAUUCUAAUUUUCUCCUGUUCCUUCAGGAUGAAAAGCACAAAAUCAAAAAGCACUAAAUCACAGAAAUAGUCCAUACAUUAUUUUAGCCACUAUAUGCUAAUCUAGGUCCACAAAAUAGGGUGCACUGAAACUAGGAAAGGAGAAGGCUAACCUGUCCAAGCGAAGGUCAGCCGUGAACACUUACUGCCUUUAACAAGUGACUGUGUGCUUUCAACACAGUCUAGAUGGCAGCCAAUGGCUUCUCUCACCACAGCUUGUCCUAGUCAUCUGAGUUUUACUUCUGGGAGAAAUCUACAGAGGAAGACAAAAAGUAGAGAUACUUCCUUAUCUCUGGUACCAGCACAAUUCGCUUGAACUUUUCAAUAUUCUGGCCACAUACUGAGGCACAGUAGAGUUCAACCCUAAGAAGCCCCAGGGGUCAUUCCUGGGGAGCACUAGUCUAAAGCCAGUCAUAUAAUGGCUCAAUGUGGUUAAGAAGUGCAAGC